AGAGUUUGAUCCUGGCUCAGGACGAACGCUGGCGGCGUGCCUAAUACAUGCAAGUAGAACGCUGAAGGAGGAGCUUGCUUCUCUGGAUGAGUUGCGAACGGGUGAGUAACGCGUAGGUAACCUGCCUGGUAGCGGGGGAUAACUAUUGGAAACGAUAGCUAAUACCGCAUAAUAUUGACUAUUGCAUGAUAGUCAAUUAAAAGGUGCAAUUGCAUCACUACCAGAUGGACCUGCGUUGUAUUAGCUAGUUGGUGGGGUAACGGCUCACCAAGGCGACGAUACAUAGCCGACCUGAGAGGGUGAUCGGCCACACUGGGACUGAGACACGGCCCAGACUCCUACGGGAGGCAGCAGUAGGGAAUCUUCGGCAAUGGACGGAAGUCUGACCGAGCAACGCCGCGUGAGUGAAGAAGGUUUUCGGAUCGUAAAGCUCUGUUGUAAGAGAAGAACGAGUGUGAGAGUGGAAAGUUCACACUGUGACGGUAUCUUACCAGAAAGGGACGGCUAACUACGUGCCAGCAGCCGCGGUAAUACGUAGGUCCCGAGCGUUGUCCGGAUUUAUUGGGCGUAAAGCGAGCGCAGGCGGUUAGAUAAGUCUGAAGUUAAAGGCUGUGGCUUAACCAUAGUACGCUUUGGAAACUGUUUAACUUGAGUGCAAGAGGGGAGAGUGGAAUUCCAUGUGUAGCGGUGAAAUGCGUAGAUAUAUGGAGGAACACCGGUGGCGAAAGCGGCUCUCUGGCUUGUAACUGACGCUGAGGCUCGAAAGCGUGGGGAGCAAACAGAAUUAGAUACCCUGGUAGUCCACGCCGUAA
rnacentral:rRNA from 1 species